rnacentral:rRNA from 1 species
CGGGUGAGUAACACGUGGAUAACCUACCUAUAAGACUGGGAUAACUUCGGGAAACCGGAGCUAAUACCGGAUAAUAUAUUGAACCGCAUGGUUCAAUAGUGAAAGACGGUUUUGCUGUCACUUAUAGAUGGAUCCGCGCUGCAUUAGCUAGUUGGUAAGGUAACGGCUUACCAAAGCAACGAUGCGUAGCCGACCUGAGAGGGUGAUCGGCCACACUGGAACUGAGACACGGUCCAGACUCCUACGGGAGGCAGCAGGC